UUUACAUUUUGAUCAUGAUCUUGGAACUGUUAAAAGAGUUGUGGUGGAUGAAGAAUUUACAUCUCCAAAGAUAUCACCAGAUUUUGAUGCCGAAAAGAAUAUGAGGAAAGUAAAAGCUGUGAAUGACUUCAAUGACAUGGAAAAUCCUACAAUGUCGGCUUCAAACAAAGGAG